GAUAGUGUGGCCUAGUGGUUCGAGUCUUAGACUACAACUCUGGAGCCCAGGGUUCGAUUCCCAGCUUGGGCC